rnacentral:rRNA from 1 species
GUGAGGAAUAUUGGUCAAUGGGCGCAAGCCUGAACCAGCCAUGCCGCGUGCAGGAAGACGGUCCUAUGGAUUGUAAACUGCUUUUAUUUGGGAAUAAACCUCCUUACGUGUAGGGAGCUGAAGGUACCAAAUGAAUAAGCACCGGCUAACUCCGUGCCAGCAGCCGCGGUAAUACGGAGGGCGCAAGCGUUAUCCGGAAUCAUUGGGUUUAAAGGGUCCGCAGGCGGUCAUAUAAGUCAGUGGUGAAAGCCUACAGCUCAACUGUAGAACUGCCAUUGAUACUGUAUGACUUGAAUUCGAUCGAAGUGGGCGGAAUGUGACAUGUAGCGGUGAAAUGCUUAGAUAUGUCACAGAACACCGAUAGCGAAGGCAGCUCACUAGGUCUGGAUUGACGCUCAGGGACGAAAGCGUGGGGAGCAAACAGGAUUAGAAACCCCAGUAGUCC